rnacentral:lncRNA from 10 species
AAAAAUAAACAUUCAGAGGUGAAGUCACCCAAGAACCCUCACCUAUCCGAGGAAGUCAGAGAAGGGGGAAGGAAUCACUUUUGACCAUUAGCUCCACGGGAAAAUGGGGAAAGGGCAUUAUCUUGUUCACUCCAGCAUCUAGCAUAGAAUCCAGCAAAUAAUCAGUGCGUUCCUGAAUAUAUCACAUGUGGUGAUAAACAUGAAGAUGUAUGAAAAAUUGUGUUCGUUGAGAGAAAAUGGAAGGCUUUUCAUUCUACUUCCACAUUUUCAUUCCAGCAGCUUUUCUGUUUUGGAAGAUGAGUACUGAAUCUUGCAAUGAAAUUUUUUUAACUUAAACAAGACAAGGAAAAUGAAGCGCAGAGACGUUAAAUAACUCUCUCAAGGUCAUGCAGCUGAGAAGAGAUGAGACUUGAACUCCAGUGCCAGCCCUGUUAAUCACUAUUCUGUACUGUCUUUCAGGUUCUUAUGCCUUUGUUUGAAAAACAUGGUUCCCUGUGAAAUUUUACAUGUAGAAGAAAGCUUCACACUACGAGAGCUCUCAGGAUAUAAUUAUUUCAGACAGAUACUGGGAACAUAAGAUGGCUUAUCAAUCUAAGAUGGCCUUCCUGUCCUUCGGAUUGAACUGAAACCAUCCCUGAUUCCAGGGAUAGGUAGAUGAUCCAGGUUUGGACAAUCAAAAUAUUGAACCACCCUGGACCUACAAGUGUUUCUGGGAUGGGAACAUGCAAACGUUGGUCCAAAUUGUUGUUCUAGGCAGCCCAGUACAUUUCUCCAAUGCCUGGAUGGAAUGAUAGGGUAUGCAUAAAUGUUCAUGUGGGCUCUGGAGUAUACCAGGAACUGAAGUAAGGUACAUGGACGUCUUGAAUAUUGUAACUGAGAUGGGCAAGCCUACACCUUUGCAAAUAAAGGAGGAUUGGGAAAGAUUAAGAUCCUGUUAAACGUCAGUGUUACUAUUUAGCCUUUGAUAUCUCCAGUAAAGGCAACUUCUUUCUGGACCCAGAAAUAAAGCUUUACAUUAGCAGCUUCCAUAACACCAAUAACAUGAAUGACCAUCUACUGAGCAAUUGCAGUGCACCAGGAUUAUGGCUUAUGAGCACUUUAUGUUUAUUAUCUCACAACUCACUGAGUUAGAUACUCUCCACAACCCAGUGAGGUCCUCUCAAGCACUGUGAAAAAUCACUUUCUCUUGUUGUAUUCUUGGAGCCCCUGCUAAUUCAUUAUUGAAAAAUACCUGCUGCCUGCAUUUGGCCUUAUGUUGUCAUUUACUUGGGUACUUCCUAAGCGUGGCUACUCCAAUGAAGCUUUAGUAUAUGUACUGAAAGAAGAUCCUCUCAUACUGCCACAGCCAAGAGAUAAGGUUGUAAAUCUUUAUUGGGAGAAGCCGUCAAGGACAGUUCUGUGAAAUGAAAGGAUCUCUGGAUCACCACAAAGUCUGGCUCAGUGACUAUGGCUUUGCAAACACUAAACAUUCCUGUCUCAAGUCCUGUAGAUGGCUUGAAAUAGUAUACAUAAGCAUGCCUUAUAAACAUCUUCAGUCUUUAUCAACUCUUUGGAGAUUCAGCCAUUCUUUUUUGUACUUUAGGGAAUUAAAUCAUUUUAUAAUGUA